GUAUACGGAGUAUCACACACAUGUUUUUCCCAAUUUAUGGGACACAACUCUUCAGUUUGCAAAUUAAACAUUAAUUUAAGGAAAAAGUGAUAGUAAUUUCAGGAAAUCCACGAGUUUUUCCUUAGUUUAAGGUAUAUCUUCCAAUCCAAAGAGUUGGAAGCUUCUAUAAAUAUACAAUCUCAUGAUGUUCACAAAAUCGUCCAAGGAUAAUAAAAUAAACCAAUCGGCAAAAAGAAAAAAUUAUCAAUAAAAAUUUAACCUUUGGAAAAAUGGAGGCAAAUAAAAUUGUAACAAUGUUUCUAAUGUGCAUGGUUGUGUUUUCAGCUAUGCACAUUUCCAUGGCUGAAGAUUUUCCGGGCUGCAUUGAUAGGUGUGAAAAGGAUUGCUCUGGGAAAGGCCAUGACUUUACUUACUGUAAGCUGACAUGUGAGGCUGAUUGUGGUUUGAGAGAGCUCCAAGGCAAAUUUAAGAAGCUCAUUUCUUGAACUGGACCAUGGAUGCAGGGUAUCACCCCAAGCAGGAGAUAGGGAAAAAAUUAAAUAGUAUUUUAUUUUCUUUAAUUAAUUCGCUUCAUUAAUUUCCUUUUCUACUGCCGUUGUAAUGCUUCUAAUGAGAUAUAAAAAUAAUUACAGUUUGAUUUAUUUAUUUUUAUUGAAUAAUAUUGUCUUCCUCGA